GGGGGCGGCGAUCGGCAUAGCAGGUCUGUUGUCUAUUCUCUCCUUGCAUGGGGUGCAAGGGGUCGAGUGUUCGAAUCACUCCGUCCCGACCA
rnacentral:tRNA from 1 species